AUUGAACGCUGGCGGAAUGCUUUACACAUGCAAGUCGAACGGCAGCACGGGGCAACCUGGUGGCGAGUGGCGAACGGGUGAGUAAUACAUCGGAACGUGCCCAAUCGUGGGGGAUAACGUAGCGAAAGUUACGCUAAUACCGCAUACGAUCUACGGAUGAAAGCGGGGGAUCGCGAGACCUCGCGCGAAUGGAGCGGCCGAUGUCAGAUUAGGUAGUUGGUGGGGUAAAGGCUCACCAAGCCAACGAUCUGUAGCUGGUCUGAGAGGACGACCAGCCACACUGGGACGGAGACACGGCCCAGACUCCGACGGGAGGCAGAAGUGGGGAAUUUUGGCCAAUGGGCGCAAGCCUGAUCCAGCCAUUCCGCGUGCAGGAUGAAGGCCUUCGGGUUGUAAACUGCUUUUGUACGGAACGAAACGGUUCUCUCUAAUACAGGGGGCUAAUGACGGUACCGUAAGAAUAAGCACCGGCUAACUACGUGCCAGCAGCCGCCGUAAAAC
rnacentral:rRNA from 1 species